UACAAUUUACAUUUUAUUUCUUAGUUUUGUCACAGAUCCAACAAGACAAUGGGAAGUGAAUCAGAUUCUAUAUUGCAAAUAAUUAAAACAUUUAUUCUAUCUUCCUUAUGUAGUGUGUGAUUACAACAGUGUAAUUAGAAGCAAAAUAACUAUUUCUAAUAUGCUUAGGGUGCCAAAGGGGUGGUUCAUUAUCAUGAAUCGGUAAAAAGCCAGUCUUGGUUUUCACAUCUUAGAAGUAGUAUGUUUGCUGCCAAUUAAAAAAAAUCUUUUUUAUCUAUAAACAUGGCAAAUUUUACCAAGAAAUCACAGUCAAUAUUUCAUGGAAGGAAAGGAUGUUUCCUUAGGCAAACAAGUUUCUUUUUGGUAGUAUUCUCAACUGCACAUACUGUGAAGUAUAAUUCAUAGUCCAGAGAUUGCAACAACUACUACACUGGUCUCUUGGUAUAUUUAGUAAAGUAAAACAUAUACACACAAAUUUGAGAGGCUGUUUAUCCCUCAAAAUUAACUAAUUUCCUUACCAAACUGAGGAAACUCUAAAGACUAAGUCAUCUUUUCAUAUUAUAAAAAAGUUGGCAGUAAAAUUGGUCAUACCCAUAAGACUCCUGAGAUUCUUUCGUUGGGCAGGUUAACUUAAAGUUAAUACAUCAUUUGUCACACAAAGAAUUUCUAUUAAAAAUUUCAGUCCUACAUCAUUAUGCACCAUCUCACCAUAAUUAAGUAUGUUCUUCAUGGCCGACUAAAGUUAGCAGAGACACACUAAUAAUCAGACAUAUUACUGCUGAGAAUUGUUAAUGCCUCCUUUCAUAAGGACAAGCUGCUGACCAUGCUUAAGCGCACAAUAGUUGUAUCUUCUUUCUGGCUAUCUUUGGAUACCAACAGAUUCACAAAUUAUUGUCCUGCCUGGCACCUGUUCCUUUUAGAGAGCUGUCUCAAAUGGUGUUAGGUGGCUAAGUAUAGACACAUACAAAGAUUUCAUUUUAUUACAUCUUGCUCAGACUGCACACACUAACAGAACAUUAAGCUUGAUGGAAGGUCUCCUCACAGCAAGAGUCAGAAGUAGCUGUUCUGAUUUUUUUAGGUCUUCGUAUCAUUGACCAUAAUGUAUUUCUGGCCUGUAUUUUAGGCAUUUCACAUUGAUAGGGGAUUCCAAACUGCUAGAGAACUGAUUUGUUUCUGGAAUGGACUGUACUCUUUUUCGACUCUUCUCUUGUUCGGUGGGUUAUACAAAAAAACCCCAAGGAGAUUCCUACUUUCGUAGUGAGUUUAAUAUCUCCAAUGCUUUUUCAUUAGACAACAAAUUUUGAAUUUCUCAUUCCUUUUCCAGAUCUGACAGCAAGUGACAGCUCAGUCCAGGACUGAAAUUUGGUAGUAGAAAGGCUCUGGGGGAGCAGAUAGUAUUUUCUGUCCUGUUCUUUGGCAGCAUAUUAGCUUUUACCUCUGCACUGAGUUUUACUUGCAGGGUAAGAGAGGAAUUGCUUUUAAGAUGUUGCUGUUGAGUCUAACUGAAGCCCUGGGCACCCUAGAACAACUGCAGGGCAGCCAGAGGGCUCGCCGGCAUAAAUCCCAUUGAAUUGUUCUGAGCCAGCUGCAGACUUCAGUCAACAUGUGUAUCAAACACCAUGCUUUCUAUCUCUCUAAUUAGAGAUUUUAUAGAGUUCCUGUCAUUCUAGUACCUAAGCAAUUAUGGAGUUACUCCUGCUUCCUAUCAAUGCUGAAUUCAGUCACAUCUGCUGUCAGAAAUUUCUCACAUGAGUGAUUGUACCAUUGGGAUGUACUGCCCCUGAAGGCCUGAAUCUCAUACCCUCCAGGUCACGAUGCCCUGAUUUUUCAGAUUAGUACUUGAUUCACUUUUUUCCUUCUUGUUUUGAUUUUUAAUCUGCACAAUAAAAACAUUCACUGAACCCAAUGCUCAUAAAUUACAUUUUAAAACCAAAUACAUAUAUAAAAAUGUACAUGUAUAAGGAUAGUACUUGCAUACAUUGAGACAAAUAAUUCAAGGGAGAAUUUCAUUGCAAUGUUUUUGGGUAAAAAAGCAUUGUGAUAAUAUGAAAACUUGCAGGUGAAAUAACCAGCCCUGUGUUCAUUCUCAAAGCUCAACACAGCUGAAAAACCAGACAAACAGUAUUAAAAUAAUGUAUGUGAAUGGUUGUGUUAAGUCUAUAAUACAAGUAUCUUUACAGAACUAUAUGUAUGUGCAGUGUUCUUUUGAAAAGUGCUUCAAGCUAGAAGUGCACAUUCUCCGUAACGCUCUUUAAUCUGAAACACUGCAAAUGUUUCACAGAAAAAGCAGUUUCUUCGUACACAAUGAAAAUUUCCUAGAGACAACCAGGCAUAUGUGCUGCUUCAAUUUCAAGUGUCUUCCAGGAUUCUUGUCCAAACAUUAAUAAGUUUUUAAAUGUCAGAUACUGUGUUUGCCAGAUAUAUAUAAAGUUUAACGUGAUUUCUCAAACACACACAAACAACAAAGGGAAUUUUUCUCAUUUCUGCUACUCGCGAAGUGGUGGAUCUUCCCGUUAACAAUGUUUUGAGGGUAGGAAAUGCUUGUUCCAAGAUACGAAGAGAAAUUUCAGGAUUCAGAGAAUAACUACAGGAACAGGCUCCUGCAGAAAGCUUCAGUAUCUGC
ensembl:lncRNA